rnacentral:lncRNA from 1 species
UGUAGCAGCCGUAUUGGACAAAGUUCUCCAAAAUUUGUUGUUGAUCCCAGAUAGCUGAGAAAAUUGCAGGACACUAUCAUACUUGGACACGUCGUGACGGAUAGGUAACAAUAGUCAAAAGUUUUGCAUGUCAGUACCACUUCACAGACUUAUUGUUGCAAAACGGACUGAUAGGCGUAUGAACCACGUAUCUGACAGGCCUGGCCCGCAUGUCAGGUCACAUGUGUCAUAU